AACUCUGAAGUUUGAUUUAUAAAUGAUUCCCACUACGCUUCACGCAGAUAAAUAUAAUACCACCCGGAUAAGAUCAUACAUCAGUUAAUUAAACGUAUUCCAACUAACUGGUUCUUAUAUAUUGUUAUUGCUUCUCGUGAUGUUGUUGUUUUGAUGACAAUUUUAGACAAUCGAUUACUUAUCAGUUACCAAUUUCGGAGAAUCCGAAGGUGGAAAGUGCAUGGAUUCCGAGAUCUCUCAAGAUGUCGAAAAAGUUUCAUCAAGUUCCGAAAAUAUUUUGGAAAAAGUGGCCCGUUUGACGUGGAAUCCCCCACCGACGAGAUCGCUCCGUUGGGCUCGUUCUAUUUUUUCCUUUUUAUGUAUGGAAAAGAAUGAGAAAAAAAAAAUGGUCGCAUGUAUUAUCAAGUUGUACAUAUACGUGAAUGUACAGGUAUAUAUGUACGUGUUACGAUCUCGUAUAUUCCGUGGCAGUAGCACAUAAUAUAAGGGGAUACGCAUUGAUGAUGAUAAUAACGUUGUUAUCUUUCCAAUGAUGUCCCAGGUGUAAAAACGCGCUUGUAUUACACCGUAUAGUUACCUAUACCUAGUAUAACAUACCUGUACCUAUACGAAAAAUCAACUCGCAUGUGAUAAUAUUGUUAUAAUGAAUUAUAGUUAAAAAUAUAGUUACAUAUGUA